AAUUACUCCAACACUCUGAAGCUCAAAUUUCUCUGUUGAUAGGUCCAAAGAGAAAAAUUCUGGAAGCCAAGAGUGAAAUGUCCCCCUCUUUUCCAUGGCAGAAACACACAGCACCUGCAUUACCCAGGAGCUUUUCCUUCAAGCUGGUAACUCUUCCCUGAACAAUCUGCAAGUGUUAUCUCAGUACAUAUCAGAGCAGGCUUUUGCAGGUGACUUCCAGACCAUUCCUCCAUCAGAGCAUAUUCCAGCCUCUCCACGGAAGCAGCACCUUCUGUGACAAAUGGGCUGGAAGCUGAUGCUGUGUUCUUACUUCAGUCUGGCUCCUGCAUAUCUGAAAAUAAAAUGGUCCAAGUCUAGAGUGUCUGCCAGGCCCAUUUACACAUUAGAGUGUGCUUCUCCUCUAUCAGUUUCAUCACACAACUGUGGACCCCUUAGGGUAUAGCAAAACAAAAUUCCUGCUGGAGUGAGCUCAGCUUGCAUGGCAACAUACUCCAAUCAGAAACCAUAUAAGAAGAGUUUGUUGUCGCUCUGUUUUUUUUCUUUUAGCUUUUGCUUACACAUAUGUUUGCUUUCCCUGCUUCCCUUUUUUUAUUUGCCUGCUGUUUCUCACAGUUAUGACAAAGAGCAGGAGAAGGCAUGACUCCCAGGAGCAGAGGACAACCAGCAGUCUAGAAUAGAGUCAAGGAUGUGGAAAUGGAGCCCUUAAGAUGACAGCAAAAGCCCCCUAAGGCAGUAAGUAUUUUGGGUGUAGCAGUACCCUGUUAGGAUGUUUAAACAGUACAUAGCAUUUAUAUCCAGUCUUGGCCUAAACUUUUGCAUGCAUAGAUUGAAUCAGGAAACUUGUCUCAAAAGUGGAAUCCCCUAGUGGAAGUUUGAAAGGACUCAGGCUUGGGUUUUGGAAAAGACUAAAUGGAAGAUUAAAAUCCAGCUUGGAUUUCCUGAAUGCCUAUACUCAGGCCUAGAAUGCCACAGCUGCUCCUUUUUGCUAUGCUGAUGGACCUGGAUGUGCCUCUGCCUCCCAUGAAGAAAAGAGUUCCAAGGACCUUCUGCAGGGUCCUCUCUGGCAGCAUUUCCCAGUGCUCAGGAGCACUAAAAUAUUGCUCUUUGGAUGAGGGCAGCAAUGAGUAGGAUGGAUAAUAUGCAUGGGUUAGGAGAUAAUAGGGGUUUGCCAGCACACAUAUUUCACUUAUUUGUCCCAGCUUGAGAAUGAGAGUAUUUUCUUAACCUGAUGCCAAGAUAUCAGCUUAUCUUGGGUUUCCUUUGAGUUGGGAUCUCUAUAAUAUAUCUUUGGAGAAAUACAAUUGUAGAUAAAAGAGUUGUUUGUUUUGUCCUUUUAAUUACUGACUAUGAAUACAUCAAGAGAUUAAAUAAUGUGGAAAGGGAAAGGAUAUCUACAUUAAAGAACAAUGUUGGCACAGGAGCUAUUAUGCAUAAUCCAGCCAGGAAUUUGGUCUGGAAACCAUAAUAAUUCAAAUAAUCAAAGCAAUCCUGUUCUGUAAUUACUUUCCUGAGGCUGUAGCAUGGACUAGAAAUCUAACUAAUUUUAAGAUACAUUUAUGAACAGGAUUAGAUGAAGUGGUUUAGGUAGCAGGGGACUUGAAUCAAUGACGUAAGAAGUACUUUCCAGUGCUGGAUCACAAGAUCGUAAAUUAAGCUACUGUUCUGCUUCUCCCCUUCAAGUAGCAGCAUGGAGCAAAGAAUUUUCAUGUCUCUAUGGUCACUUCUCUGUUACUCAAUAUGUUAUGAGAUUGAGUUAUCUUGGAUAAUGAUAGUGGAACACGAUGGCCAGAUUGAGUCUGAAUCUGGCAGAAACUUCUGUGUUGAACCUCCUGUAUCCAUAUUCCAAGCAAAUAAAUUCUGACAGACCAGAACUGAGACCUGGAGC
rnacentral:lncRNA from 1 species